GACGAACGCUGGCGGCGUGCUUAACACAUGCAAGUCGAACGGAAAGGCCCUGCUUUUGUGGGGUGCUCGAGUGGCGAACGGGUGAGUAACACGUGAGUAACCUGCCCUUGACUUUGGGAUAACUUCAGGAAACUGGGGCUAAUACCGGAUAGGAGCUCCUGCUGCAUGGUGGGGGUUGGAAAGUUUCGGCGGUUGGGGAUGGACUCGCGGCUUAUCAGCUUGUUGGUGGGGUAGUGGCUUACCAAGGCUUUGACGGGUAGCCGGCCUGAGAGGGUGACCGGCCACAUUGGGACUGGGAUACGGCCCAGACUCCUACGGGGGGCAACAGGGGGGAAUAUUGCAAAAUGGGCGGAAGCCUGAUGCAGCAACGCCGCGUGCGGGAUGACGGCCUUCGGGUUUUAAACCGCUUUCGCCUGUGACGAAGCGUGAGUGACGGUAAUGGGUAAAGAAGCACCGGCUAACUACGUG
rnacentral:rRNA from 1 species